rnacentral:rRNA from 1 species
UGUGAGCUCGAUGAGUAGGGCGGGACACGUGGUAUCCUGUCUGAAUAUGGGGGGACCAUCCUCCAAGGCUAAAUACUCCUGACUGACCGAUAGUGAACCAGUACCGUGAGGGAAAGGCGAAAAGAACCCCGGCGAGGGGAGUGAAAAAGAACCUGAAACCGUGUACGUACAAGCAGUGGGAGCACAGAGCAAUCUGUGUGACUGCGUACCUUUUGUAUAAUGGGUCAGCGACUUAUAUUCUGUAGCAAGGUUAACCGAAUAGGGGAGCCGAAGGGAAACCGAGUCUUAACUGGGCGUUAAGUUGCAGGGUAUAGACCCGAAACCCGGUGAUCUAGCCAUGGGCAGGUUGAAGGUUGGGUAACACUAACUGGAGGACCGAACCGACUAAUGUUGAAAAAUUAGCGGAUGACUUGUGGCUGGGGGUGAAAGGCCAAUCAAACCGGGAGAUAGCUGGUUCUCCCCGAAAGCUAUUUAGGUAGCGCCUCGUGAAUUCAUCUCCGGGGGUAGAGCACUGUUUCGGCAAGGGGGUCAUCCCGACUUACCAACCCGAUGCAAACUGCGAAUACCGGAGAAUGUUAUCACGGGAGACACACGGCGGGUGCUAACGUCCGUCGUGAAGAGGGAAACAACCCAGACCGCCAGCUAAGGUCCCAAAGUCAUGGUUAAGUGGGAAACGAUGUGGGAAGGCCCAGACAGCCAGGAUGUUGGCUUAGAAGCAGCCAUCAUUUAAAGAAAGCGUAAUAGCUCACUGGUCGAGUCGGCCUGCGCGGAAGAUGUAACGGGGCUAAACCAUGCACCGAAGCUGCGGCAGCGACGCUUAUGCGUUGUUGGGUAGGGGAGCGUUCUGUAAGCCUGCGAAGGUGUGCUGUGAGGCAUGCUGGAGGUAUCAGAAGUGCGAAUGCUGACAUAAGUAACGAUAAAGCGGGUGAAAAGCCCGCUCGCCGGAAGACCAAGGGUUCCUGUCCAACGUUAAUCGGGGCAGGGUGAGUCGACCCCUAAGGCGAGGCCGAAAGGCGUAGUCGAUGGGAAACAGGUUAAUAUUCCUGUACUUGGUGUUACUGCGAAGGGGGGACGGAGAAGGCUAUGUUGGCCGGGCGACGGUUGUCCCGGUUUAAGCGUGUAGGCUGGUUUUCCAGGCAAAUCCGGAAAACUAAGGCUGAGGCGUGAUGACGAGGCACUACGGUGCUGAAGCAACAAAUGCCCUGCUUCCAGGAAAAGCCUCUAAGCAUCAGGUAACAUCAAAUCGUACCCCAAACCGACACAGGUGGUCAGGUAGAGAAUACCAAGGCGCUUGAGAGAACUCGGGUGAAGGAACUAGGCAAAAUGGUGCCGUAACUUCGGGAGAAGGCACGCUGAUAUGUAGGUGAAGUCCCUCGCGGAUGGAGCUGAAAUCAGUCGAAGAUACCAGCUGGCUGCAACUGUUUAUUAAAAACACAGCACUGUGCAAACACGAAAGUGGACGUAUACGGUGUGACGCCUGCCCGGUGCCGGAAGGUUAAUUGAUGGGGUUAGCGCAAGCGAAGCUCUUGAUCGAAGCCCCGGUAAACGGCGGCCGUAACUAUAACGGUCCUAAGGUAGCGAAAUUCCUUGUCGGGUAAGUUCCGACCUGCACGAAUGGCGUAAUGAUGGCCAGGCUGUCUCCACCCGAGACUCAGUGAAAUUGAACUCGCUGUGAAGAUGCAGUGUACCCGCGGCAAGACGGAAAGACCCCGUGAACCUUUACUAUAGCUUGACACUGAACAUUGAGCCUUGAUGUGUAGGAUAGGUGGGAGGCUUGGAAGUGUGGACGCCAGUCUGCAUGGAGCCGACCUUGAAAUACCACCCUUUAAUGUUUGAUGUUCUAACGUUGACCCGUGAUCCGGGUUGCGGACAGUGUCUGGUGGGUAGUUUGACUGGGGCGGUCUCCUCCUAAAGAGUAACGGAGGAGCACGAAGGUUGGCUAAUCCUGGUCGGACAUCAGGAGGUUAGUGCAAUGGCAUAAGCCAGCUUGACUGCGAGCGUGACGGCGCGAGCAGGUGCGAAAGCAGGUCAUAGUGAUCCGGUGGUUCUGAAUGGAAGGGCCAUCGCUCAACGGAUAAAAGGUACUCCGGGGAUAACAGGCUGAUACCGCCCAAGAGUUCAUAUCGACGGCGGUGUUUGGCACCUCGAUGUCGGCUCAUCACAUCCUGGGGCUGAAGUAGGUCCCAAGGGUAUGGCUGUUCGCCAUUUAAAGUGGUACGCGAGCUGGGUUUAGAACGUCGUGAGACAGUUCGGUCCCUAUCUGCCGUGGGCGCUGGAGAACUGAGGGGGGCUGCUCCUAGUACGAGAGGACCGGAGUGGACGCAUCACUGGUGUUCGGGUUGUCAUGCCAAUGGCACUGCCCGGUAGCUAAAUGCGGAAGAGAUAAGUGCUGAAAGCAUCUAAGCACGAAACUUGCCCCGAGAUGAGUUCUCCCUGACUCCUUGAGAGUCCUGAAGGAACGUUGAAGACGACGACGUUGAUAGGCCGGGUGUGUAAGCGCAGCGAUGCGUUGAGCUAACCGGUACUAAUGAACCGUGAGGCUUAACCUUACAACGCCGAAGGUGUUU